rnacentral:rRNA from 1 species
UGGGGAAUUUUGGACAAUGGGCGAAAGCCUGAUCCAGCAAUGCCGCGUGUGUGAAGAAGGCCUUCGGGUUGUAAAGCACUUUUGUCCGGAAAGAAAUCCUUGGCUCUAAUACAGUCGGGGGAUGACGGUACCGGAAGAAUAAGCACCGGCUAACUACGUGCCAGCAGCCGCGGUAAUACGUAGGGUGCAAGCGUUAAUCGGAAUUACUGGGCGUAAAGCGUGCGCAGGCGGUUUGCUAAGACCGAUGUGAAAUCCCCGGGCUCAACCUGGGAACUGCAUUGGUGACUGGCAGGCUAGAGUAUGGCAGAGGGGGGUAGAAUUCCACGUGUAGCAGUGAAAUGCGUAGAGAUGUGGAGGAGUACCGAUGGCGAAGGCAGCCCCCUGGGCAAUACUGACGCUCAUGCACGAAAGCGU